rnacentral:rRNA from 1 species
GGGGUCUUCGGGGUGCAGGUCUGCCCCCGGGCAGGCCUAACCUCCCACCCGUGAAUACCUGACCAACGUUGCUUCGGCGGUGCGCCCCCCCCCGGGGGUAGCCGCCGGAGACCACACCGAACCUCCUGUCUUUAGUGUUGUCUGAGCUUGAUAGCAAACCUAUUAAAACUUUCAACAAUGGAUCUCUUGGUUCCGGCAUCGAUGAAGAACGCAGCGAACUGCGAUAAGUAAUGUGAAUUGCAGAAUUCAGUGAAUCAUCGAGUCUUUGAACGCACAUUGCGCCCCCUGGCAUUCCGGGGGGCAUGCCUGUCCGAGCGUCAUUGCUGCCCUUCAAGCCCGGCUUGUGUGUUGGGUCGUCGUCCCCCCCGGGGGACGGGCCCGAAAGGCAGCGGCGGCACCGCGUCCGGUCCUCGAGCGUAUGGGGCUUUGUCACCCGCUCGAUUAGGGCCGGCCGGGCGCCAGCCGGCGUCUCCAACCUUCUAUUUUACCAGGUUGACCUCGGAUCAGGUAGGGAUACCCGCUGAACUUAAGCAUAUCAAUAAGCGGAGGAAA